rnacentral:rRNA from 1 species
UACCGCAUACGAUCUGAGGAUGAAAGCGGGGGACCUUCGGGCCUCGCGCGAUUGGAGCGGCCGAUGGCAGAUUAGGUAGUUGGUGGGAUAAAAGCUUACCAAGCCGACGAUCUGUAGCUGGUCUGAGAGGACGACCAGCCACACUGGGACUGAGACACGGCCCAGACUCCUACGGGAGGCAGCAGUGGGGAAUUUUGGACAAUGGGCGAAAGCCUGAUCCAGCAAUGCCGCGUGCAGGAUGAAGGCCUUCGGGUUGUAAACUGCUUUUGUACGGAACGAAAAAGCUCCUUCUAAUACAGGGGGCCCAUGACGGUACCGUAAGAAUAAGCACCGGCUAACUACGUGCCAGCAGCCGCGGUAAUACGUAGGGUGCGAGCGUUAAUCGGAAUUACUGGGCGUAAAGCGUGCGCAGGCGGUUAUGUAAGACAGAUGUGAAAUCCCCGGGCUCAACCUGGGAACUGCAUUUGUGACUGCAUGGCUAGAGUACGG